ensembl:lncRNA
AAAAAGUGGAACUACUGUGGAGCUGAUCACCUUAGGGAAUCACUGAUAGAUGGAAAUACAAAAAGUCUUUCUAAGGAUAAAAAAUAAAUUUAGGAAGAAUAGGGCACAGGAAUAUUGAAAGGAUAGUAGUUGAUAAUCUGAAGAGUUGCAGAAUUCUUGAUUAUGGAAGUGGAACAACUUCAAGUGAUGCUCUUGCAGACAUCACUGAAGGAAGAGCAAGCUUUGUGGAGAAGAGACCCACCAUUCCUUUCAAUGCCCACACCAAACACCAAACAACUUCUAUCAAUGAGUAAGUAAAUCCAAGAGUCCCAGGUGCAAUAGUAUCCCUCAAACCAUUGAUGCUGCUUUCAUCCUGGUACCAGAAGGAGUCUAUUAUCACCAUGUUAAAGGGCCCCUGAACUUGUCUUCUUCCAGGCAUACUGAAUCUCGAGUAUGCAAAAAGCCCCAAAUGUGUCAAAGAUCAAGCUCCUCCUGGACUGCAGUUUGUUGUUUGUACCUCAAGCUGGACUCUUUGUGUCCUUGGGAUUAACAGGUACCAUUCAGUCGGUACCAGACUGAGAAAUUAUGCAACUAAGGCCCUUGUAGACAAACAACAAUCAUAGCUUCAGUCUAGCAGUUCCCACUGAACACUGCAUUUCCAUCCUACUUUAUGAUGUCCCCCUUCCCUUUCUUUUGUCUUUCUCAUUCCCUUCCAGAGGGGAAUAAUCUUUUCCCUACUCCUAUUACUCUUUGCUUCCUCCCAUGUUAUUCCCAUUUGGGAGGGGGUUGCUAUCUACUCUUCCCAUUGCUGCAAUUUUAUAAAUAUAUUACCUUCUGUUUGGAUUGUGAAAUCCUUCAUCCUGUAGAGGAAUUACACAUAAAAAGUAAUUUCUCUUGAAAUAAAUCUAGUUGCAAUGAAUGUCUCAUGAACUUGAGUUAUUUUUUAAAUUUAUUUUUUUUGUUUUGUUUUUUUGGUUAAUAACCAUCACAACAAUAUGUGUUGGUAAGCUUAAGAGCCCUGGGAAUAACAGCAAUACCCACUUCUCACUUCCAGCAUGUCAAAAGAAAUGAUUUGACAUUAGAAACCUACAUGGUUUUAUUAAUAGAAAUGAUAUUAAUUAAGAAGCAUUACCACUUACUUUGAUGUUGUACCAUAAGGACCAAGGGACUUUUCAAUAUUACUUGUAGCUGAAGUCACCUGAUUUUACUCUUUCUAUUAGAACAUGAGCUCCAUGUUCUUCUGAAAAGAGGCUGUUUUGCUUCUCUCUUCAUAUCCCUGACAUUUACCAUGAUUUGUGCCCAUAUUAAGCAUUCAAUAGGCUCUUUUCAUUCAUUCAUUUUUCCAUUCAUUCAUCAGUAUGGAUAAGUCUUAAGAGAUUGUCUUUAAUAUAUGCCCCAAAAGAUAACAGAUCUCUCCUUAUUGUUUUCAAUCUGACAAAUAACUGCCUCAAUAUCCUCAAAGAAGGAAUCAACAUUAUAUUAAUACUUUUCUAUUCUGCCUCAAAACAUUAUUAGAUGAUUUCUCACUUGAUGUUUUUUGUGCUUCUGUUAUAUUAUUUUUGGAAGGACACUAAUUUCUCCCUCCUUUAUUACCUUAGCAAAGGUCAAAUCUCGCCCUUUCUAAAUCAAAUUCUUUUUUUAUUUCCUGUUAAAUCAUUGUUUCCUUUGGUAACUUCAUUUUGCUGAAUAAUCUGCAGUGUGGAGAAAUAUUCUUUAAAUUCUUUCUCCUCCUGGAAGAUCAGUCUAUACUUGGAACACAGAUCACAAUCACUUCACUAUGACAAAAGUACAAAAAAACUUAUACUCAGGGUAAGUUUCUGCACCAUUUUUCCUACUUUACAUAAUGGUCUAAAGAAAUCAAGUAAUUUGAUAUCUGGAUUCACUAUAAAUGAGUGAUUUCUAACUUUAUCCAUAUCCUCAUUGCAUUCUUACUGACUUUUAAUUAGAACUUAGCUUAUAACCCAGCAGAAAUCAGGGAGUUAUGAGGUUUAAAGAAUUCCCUGGUCUCAGUCUGAUGUACAUUUCUUAAAAGUGAUGUUAUCAACCUCUGAUAAAAAAUAUGGAAAACUUUUCAUUGCCUCUAGUGUUGGGCCUUCAUAAUGGGACUAGAUUAUUUUGCUUAAAAUAAAGCAAAGAGUCAGCAAGGAUAGGAAAGAUGUGUGGGGGUGGGGUAGGGGAUGUGUAUGUAUAUGUAGUAUCUACAUAAAUAUAUCUUUUCUUAACUAUAGUUUGCUUGGUGAUGAUAGGGGGAAAGUGGAGAAAAAAAUAAAGUUAAAAAAUUGCACAUCAGAAAACAAAAGAACAAUUUACAAGUAAGUAAAGAUGGAUAUUCAUAAAUAUAAUUUCUUCUACUAAAAUAUAUAUAGAGAGAUAGACAUAAAACACAACAAAUUACUAAUUUAGCAAAGUUAUUGAACUAGUAAUUUGUUGUUAUAUAUUUUGAAUCCUCCCUGCUGUUCUGUUGGACACAUGAUAGUAUUCUCUUUUGUUUUAUUUUAUUUUCCUUUGGUAUCCUUUUCUAUUUUUCUUAUUUUUUUUAAAUAAAAUAAAAUUUUAAAAUGGUCUCACAUAUAUUGCACAAUUAAAUGAAAUCAAAAUGUGGAUUCCAAAGUGUAAUGAUAAGCAUUUUUAUUAUAUAUAUAUGUAUGUGUGUGUGUAUGUGUGCGUGUGUGUGAGUGUGUGUGUGUAUACGUAUAUAUAUAUAUAUGUAUAAAACUGUUCAAAUUAUGAGGGAAAAGAAAAGCUGGUGAUAUUUAAUACAUUGCAGAGCUGAAGCAGUAUUCUUUCUGUUUUUCUUGAUGAUGUAGUGACACCCUCUGGUAACAUUCAUCUAUUACAAUAAUUUUCAACUGGUUUAGUUUAAUAUUGAUUGAUAUGUAUUCUUUAUAACAAACGAUCAGUUGUUAAGCAUCUAAAUAUAUUAUGACCAAGAGAAAAAUAUUACAAAAGAAAAGAGAAUCCAACUGGAAUUUCUAGUGACUAUAUUUUUCAAGAAAUUGGGACAUAGUUAAGAUAGCUGUUUAUUCCACUAUAUUUGCAUCUUCCAUAACAAUGAAUAAACUUAAUUCUUAAUAUCUUUAUGGAUAAUUUUUGGUAAACUAUCUAGACAAAUACUUCCAAUGUGUUAUAUCUAGAGCAGCCUCAGUGGAUAAUUUAAGGAGAAAUACAAACAACAUAUUGUUAGGGACUUUCCUUCUGAGAAUUACCAUGUAUGCUAGGUCAGAUGGUAGAGUGGACCCAGAAGGUAAAAAGGGGCUUGGCCUCUGAGGCAGGAGCUUGUGUCUUAUAGGUAUUUCCUUGAGAUAGCAAGGGGUGUGUCCUCUUGCUAGAUCUUUUCUUAGGAUGCAGCACUAACUCCAGGUCUCUCCCUUCUGGGGAUUCACCUACGCAGUGCUGAGUGGACUAGGCACAAGGUAAUCUCAGAGGAGACUAAUUAUAAAUGACCUGCUUUGAAUCCAUAGGCAAGAAGGAUGCAGAGAGAAGUAGAGAAAUUCAGGGAUGCAGAGAGAGAGCCGCAGAGACAUACAUACAUUUGUUCUUGCUUUCUGAUAACCCCUGCUGAGAUUACCAAUAAAGAAAGGCUGUUUGGCACCUUAACAUCAACUCGGCUUCAUGUCUACCCAGAUUGGUAGGUAUGGCCCUGGCAAUCAGUAGCCUCAGUAGGAAUUUACAAUGUAUGACAACAGAUUGAGUACAGAAGCAGAUGAAAAAAAUUCAGCUGUUUUCUAUCAAAUCAGACAGUAAAGAAUUUGCAAAAAUAUAUAAAAUAAUAUCACUUUUCUUACUUAUUUUUUAUUAUAGAUUUUUAUUUACAAAACAUAUGCAUGGGUAAUUUUUCAACAUUGAGAAGGCAUGUUAAAUAUGUUAAAGUAUAUGUUAAAUCCAAUAUAUGUAUCCAUGUUUAUACAGUUAUCUUGCUGCACAGAUCUAGAAAGAAAGAAAGAAAGAAAAACAGAGAAGGAAAACAAAAAUUCAAGCAAACCAUAACAAAAAGAAUGGAAAUGCUAUGUUAUGGUCCACACUUAUUUCCCAUAGUUCUCUCUCUGGGUGUAGCUGACUCUUUUUAUUAUUAAACAAUUGGAACUAGUUUGAAUCAUCUCAUUAUUGAAGAGAGUCACAUCCAUCAGAAUUGAUUUUCGUAUAAUUUUGUUGUUGCCAUGUAUGAUAAUCUUCUGGUCCUGCUCAUUUCACUCAGCAUCAGUUCAUGUAAGUCUCUCCAGGCCUUUCUGAAAUCAUCCUGCUGGUCAUUUUUUACAGAACAAUAAUAUUCCAUAAUAUUCAUAUACCACAAUUUAUUCAGCCAUUCUCCAAUUGAUGGCCAUCCAUUCAGUUUCCAGUUUCUAGUCACUACAAAGAGGGCUACCACAAACAUUUUGGCACAUACAGG